UCCACCGGCGUUGGAGGCUCGGCCUCUCAUUUUGUUCGCGUAUCUGUCUCAGGCGGUGUUCCCGAAAGCAGACCCUGAGAUGAGAACGCAGCAGCCUUAUCCAACAGUACCAAAAAUCGGGAAAGAAGAACAAAACAAAGAACGGAGAAAAGGCUGGAUAGCUUUGCGGCAACAGAGCUCAGCCCACGCCCCCCCUCUCACCGCAGCCCACGUAUGGGACGGGCCUGCAGAAAGUGGCGGUGAUCACAUCAACCUCGCCAGACCGCUGUGAAAAGCCAAGCCGCAGCCAUCGUGCACUGCCUUCGCCAUUCCCGCCCCCCAGGUUCUCUGCCACUGGCCAAGCGGCUUGGCCCACGGAAGGCCCUGGCAAAAGCAGAGAGCUCCAAGGAAGAGGCCCGGGGACUCUCCUCGCUUGGGCGUCCUGUCUCCGUCUACAGCGGGACCCAUUGGCACCUCAGCUCUCAGUGAGGCCCGGUUCCCUUCUUUAACCUUUUUGGGCCUCAGUGCUAACAGCUGCCGCUGGGGCUCCUCUGGGGGGCCGCCGUCAGCAGGUUUCAGGGCUCCAUUUACCCUGUCCCGGGGAUCUGCGAUCGGCCCCCUCAUCAAGUCUUGUCAAAGGAGACCACCAGGGAGGAUUCUUUUUCUCACCUAACCUGGGGUGAUACUCUCCUGGAUUAUUAUGAUCCACUCCUGGCUGACUGUUUCUUAAACACGUUUUAAAAAUCGAAAUGAUUUGUCUUAGAGGAAUAUUAUGUCUCCAUGUCAUUGUGAACCCGAUAUGCUGGUUGUCACCUUUCUAACACACAUUAAAAUAAAUCCAUGACUUGAAAAAAGAAACGUGCUUGCUGUGUCCCACCUAA